GUGGUGGCAAGCGUUGUCCGGGAAUUAUUGGGGCGUAAAGCGCGCGCAGGCGGUUCUUUAAGUCUGAUGUGAAAGCCCACGGGCUCAACCGUGGAGGGUCAUUGGAAACUGGAGAACUUGAGUACAGAAGAGGAAAGCGGAAUUCCACGUGUAGCGGUGAAAUGCGUAGAGAUGUGGAGGAACACCAGUGGCGAAGGCGGCUUUCUGGUCUGUAACUGACGCUGAGGCGCGAAAGCGUGGGGAGCAAACAGGAUUAGAUACCCUGGUAGUCCACGCCGUAAACGAUGAGUGCUAAGUGUUAGGGGGUUUCCGCCCCUUAGUGCUGCAGCUAACGCAUUAAGCACUCCGCCUGGGGAGUACGGCCGCAAAGGCUG
rnacentral:rRNA from 1 species